rnacentral:rRNA from 1 species
UACAGAGGUCUCGAGCGUUAGGCGGAAUCACUGGGCUUAAAGCGUGUGUAGGCGGAUGCCUAAGUACCUUGUGAAAUCCCACAGCUUAACUGUGGAACUGCUUGGUAUACUGGGUGUCUUGAGCCACUCAGGGGGCGAGCGGAACAAAUGGUGGAGCGGUGAAAUGCGUAGAUAUCAUUUGGAACGCCAAUGGUGAAAACAGCUCGCUGGGGGGUGUGCUGACGCUGAGACACGAAAGCCAGGGGAGCGAACGGG